AAGGCUCCAUUAAAAAAAAAAAGCAGAGAAGAGAGGAUUCCGAUCACAAAAGCCUCUCCCCACGACACAAAACCCUAAAUUUUCAACUUUUCUUAGAAAUCAUGAAGCUCUCCUUCUCCGUCCCCUCCGCGAAAAACCAAUCGAAGCCCAAAGCCGUCAACACCUUCGACGACUCUUCCGCCGCCCAAAACGACAACGGCGGAACCAAACACCUCAUCACCGAAUUCGACCCUUCGAAACCCGCCCCUGCUACCGCCCCCAAAACCCUAAUCCCCCCAAUCCAAAACGAAUGGAGGCCCCACAAAAAGAUGAAGAAUCUCCACCUCCCCACCACCGACCCUGACUCGGAAUCCCUCCAAUUCGUGUCCCACACCGCUCAGGAUGAAUCCGGAUCCGACAUGUCCUACGGCCUCAACCUCCGCGCCGACAAAAAGCCCCAACAGAACAACCAAGACGCCGCCGCUCCCCUCCGCCGAGUUCCGCCGGAGGUCUCCAUGCUGCAGAAGUUCAAGGACGACAUGCAGAGGCUGCCAGAUGACCCGGGAUUAGACGAGUUCAAGGAUGUCGCCGUCGAGGGUUUCGGCGCCUCGCUGCUCGCCGGCUACGGCUGGAAGGAGGGGAUGGGAAUUGGGAGGAACGCGAAGGAGGAUGUUAAGGCGGUGCAGAUCAAGCGCAGAACCGCUAAGGAAGGUUUAGGGUUUGUUGGUGAUGCUCCUGCUGCGCUUGUUCGGAGCAACAUUGACAAGGACAGCAAGAACAGGGAAAACAAGAACAAGGAAAAGAAUGAGGACAAAGAAAAGAGUGAAAAGGAGAAGGUUGUUAGGAUUGUUGGGGGAAGAGAUGCCGGGUUGAAGGGUAGUGUUGUUUCUAGCAUUGGGGAUGGUUAUCUUGUUUUGAGGCUUUCCGGGAGUGGACAGAAGGUGAAGGUGAAGGUGGGUGAUGUUGCUGAAUUGGGUUCUAGGGAGGAAGAGAGGUGCUUGAGGAAAUUGAAGGACUCUAAGAUUCGGCGCGAGGAGAAGAGACAGGAUGUUGGUAGGAGAGAGGAGAGGAGAGUGGUGGAUCAUAGGAAGGUUUCUUGGCUUACUAGUCACAUUCGGGUUAGGGUGAUUAGUCGUGAUUUGAAAGGGGGGCGGUUGUAUUUGAAGAAGGGGGAGGUUCUUGAUGUUGUUGGGCCUACGACUUGUGAUAUAUCUAUGGAUGAGAGCAGGGAGAUAGUUCAAGGGGUGUCCCAAGAUGUUCUUGAGACGGCAAUUCCGAGAUGUGGGGGGCCGGUGCUUGUGUUGGCUGGUAAAUACAAGGGUGUGUAUGGGAGUUUGGUGGAGAGGGAUUUGGACAGGGAAAGUGCUGUUGUUAGGGAUGCUGAUACCCAUGAGAUGUUCAAUGUGAAACUUGAACAGAUUGCAGAGUAUAUAGGGGACCCGAGUUUAUUGGGACAUUGAUUUGGUUGCAUCGACUGGACUUCCAUUUGGGGCGACAGAUUUGCAAGUAUGCAUAUUGGGAAUGAUCCUGGGGGGAAAACAACUGCAAUAGCAAUACUUAUGAAGGAUGAAGGAGGGAUCAUUGCAACAGAUAGAUCUUAUAAUAAGGUGCUGGAUGUUCAGAAAUUGGCAGCUGAAAUGGGCUUGAGUUGUAUAAAGACAUUUAAAUUAGAUGCUCUUAAAUCUGUUUGUCGAAGAGAUGAUUUUGAUACUUUUACUGAUCCAUGCUCUAGUAAUGCCAAAAAUGAUGUGACAAAUCAAGUGUUUGAUUCAUCAAAUUUGCAAGUAGAAAGAGAGUCACCCCUUGUUACAGAAGG